GAUGAACGCUGGCGGCGUGCCUAAUACAUGCAAGUCGAACGCAUUGAGAGAAGUGCUUGCACUUUUCAAUUCGAGUGGCGAACGGGUGAGUAACACGUGGGCAACCUACCUGAUAGCGGGGGAUAACGAGUGGAAACAUUCGCUAAUACCGCAUAACAAUAGAGAAGGCAUCUUCUUUAUUUAAAAGGCGCUUUCAAGCGUCACUAUCAGAUGGGCCCGCGGUGCAUUAGUUAGUUGGUGGGGUGAAGGCCUACCAAGACGAUGAUGCAUAGCCGAGUUGAGAGACGGAGCGGCCACAUUGGGACUGAGACACGGCCCAAACGCCUACGGGAGGCUGCAGUAGGGAAUCUUCCACAAUGGACGAAAGUCUGAUGGAGCAACGCCGCGUGUGUGAUGAAGGCUUUCGGGUCGUAAAGCACUGUUGUAUGGGAAGAAAUGCUAGGCUAGGAAAUGAGCUUAGUUUGACGGUACCAUACCAGAAAGGGACGGCUAAAUACGUGCCAGCCGCCGCCGUAA
rnacentral:rRNA from 1 species